AAAUUUCCUAAUUAAUUUAUUUGAAGCCAUUUGAUUCUUUGAUCUUUUGUCAAUCUAUUCCAAAAAGGUCUAUUUUUAUCAUUCUUUCUUAAUCUUCUUCAAAAAAUUCAUGUCUUAAGAGUUCUUCAAAUUUCUUCUAUAAUAUAGUUUCAAUAUGCAAAUUUUGUAGCUUCUCUCUAAUUUUUGAUAUCACAACCAAAUCAAAAGUAGUAAUCAUCUUU
rnacentral:lncRNA from 1 species